rnacentral:rRNA from 1 species
AAACUGAAGAGUUUGAUCAUGGCUCAGAUUGAACGCUGGCGGCAGGCCUAACACAUGCAAGUCGAGCGGUAACAGGGGGAGCUUGCUCCCUGCUGACGAGCGGCGGACGGGUGAGUAACGCAUAGGAAUCUGCCCGGUAGUGGGGGAUAACCUGGGGAAACCCAGGCUAAUACCGCAUACGUCCUACGGGAGAAAGCAGGGGACCUUCGGGCCUUGCGCUAUCGGAUGAGCCUAUGCCGGAUUAGCUGGUUGGUGAGGUAAUGGCUCACCAAGGCAACGAUCCGUAGCUGGUCUGAGAGGAUGAUCAGCCACAUCGGGACUGAGACACGGCCCGAACUCCUACGGGAGGCAGCAGUGGGGAAUAUUGGACAAUGGGGGCAACCCUGAUCCAGCCAUGCCGCGUGUGUGAAGAAGGCCUUCGGGUUGUAAAGCACUUUCAGUGAGGAAGAAGGCCUUGGGGCUAAUACCCCUGAGGAAGGACAUCACUCACAGAAGAAGCACCGGCUAACUCCGUGCCAGCAGCCGCGGUAAUACGGAGGGUGCGAGCGUUAAUCGGAAUUACUGGGCGUAAAGCGCGCGUAGGUGGCUUGAUAAGCCGGUUGUGAAAGCCCCGGGCUCAACCUGGGAACGGCAUCCGGAACUGUCAGGCUAGAGUGCAGGAGAGGAAGGUAGAAUUCCCGGUGUAGCGGUGAAAUGCGUAGAGAUCGGGAGGAAUACCAGUGGCGAAGGCGGCCUUCUGGACUGACACUGACACUGAGGUGCGAAAGCGUGGGUAGCAAACAGGAUUAGAUACCCUGGUAGUCCACGCCGUAAACGAUGUCGACUAGCCGUUGGGUCCCUAGAGGACUUUGUGGCGCAGUUAACGCGAUAAGUCGACCGCCUGGGGAGUACGGCCGCAAGGUUAAAACUCAAAUGAAUUGACGGGGGCCCGCACAAGCGGUGGAGCAUGUGGUUUAAUUCGAUGCAACGCGAAGAACCUUACCUACCCUUGACAUCCUCGGAA